rnacentral:lncRNA from 1 species
ACUCCUCCCCCUCCGUGUCCCCCAACAUUUCCACCAAAACACCCUCCACAUGUAAAGCCACCUUUCCACCCCAAACCACCGCAUCACAAGCCACCCCAUGUCAAACCACCGCACAAGCCCCCGUAUGUUCCUAAACCACCUUAUUCCCCAAGCCCUAAACCGCCUUACGUGCCAAAACCACCUCAUACUCCAGUCCCUAGGCCACCAUAUUUCCCCAAACCACCUUACACACCAAGGCCUAAGCCACCAUAUGCGCCAAAACCACCUUAUACGCCAACCCCUAAGCCACCAUAUUUCCCCAAACCACCUUACACACCAAGGCCGAAGCCACCAUAUGUGCCAAAACCACCUUAUACGCCAGCCCCUAAGCCACCAUAUUUUCCCAAACCACCUUACACACCAAGGCCUAAGCCACCAUAUGCACCAAAACCACCUUAUACGCCAACACCUAAGCCACCAUAUUUCCCCAAACCACCUUACACACCAAGGCCUAAGCCACCGUACGUGCCAAAACCACCGUACACACCAAGGCCUAAGCCACCGUACGUGCCAAAACCACCAUACACACCAACCCCUAAGCCACCGUACGUGCCAAAACCACCUUACACCCCAACCCCUAAGCCACCGUACGUGCCAAAACCACCGUAUACCCCAACUCCUAAGCCACCGUACGUCCCAUCGCCACCUUAUACCCCUCGCCCUAAACCACCGUAUGUACCAUCACCACCUUAUACCCCUAGCCCUAAACCACCGUAUGUGCCAUCACCACCAUAUACCCCAAGCCCUACCCCACCAUAUGUACCAUCACCACCGUAUACCCCAAGCCCACCAUAUGUACCAUCACCACCGUAUACCCCAAGCCCUAGCCCACCACCACCACCAAGUGGAACACCGUGUCCUCCGCCGCCGCCACCAAAGGUGAGACCGUACCCUCCACCACCAUCACAAACUUGUCCCAUUGAUACUCUCAAGCUUGGUGCAUGCGUCGACGUGUUGGGCGGUCUAAUACACAUCGGUAUAGGCAGCAGUGCAAAGGACGCUUGCUGCCCCGUGCUGCAGGGGCUACUGGACUUGGAUGCUGCAUUAUGUCUUUGCACCACCAUUAAACUUAAGCUUUUGAAUAUCAAUCUUAUUAUACCGAUCGCC